ensembl:lncRNA
CACACAUACUCCAUGCUACCCUUGCCCUGGGGGCUGAGUAGAGCCCUGAGGGAUCAUCCUCUUCACCACCAGCCUAGACCUCAAUGAGAUUAACCUAGGCAGCUCUGUGAGGAUGGCAGACUUGUCCUUGGGAUGCGCAGCCCACGCAGGCCACUGUGCUCAGGGUCAGGUCUGAAUUUCACAGCUCACAUGAGUCUCUUCAGUCUUUGCCUAGCCUUAAAACUGAAGGAGUUUCUGGGCAGGGUCACACUUUGCCUGAGCUGGUCUUAGCACAAAGAUGGCACUAAUUAAACAGUUACGUAAAUAAUAACCACUUCAGGUUAGUUAAUCAGCCUAGAUAACAUAUCCAGCUCCCACACAGCACUCUCUUCUCAUCCACACAGCAAACACUGCAAUUUUAGUGCAAUGCUGAUGCAGUGUUGAAACACCCAGUAAUCAUUCAUUAGCUGAAACACUAGCAUCUAACAGCAAGCAGCAUAGCAUCUCAGCUCUGCAUCCCCUGAGGCCCUCAAGAGAUUAUUAAAAAUCCCCAGGUCCUCAGAAAUGUCAGUCUGGGAAUCCCUUUGUUUUAAACAAAAUGAAGGACUGGUCCUCUCUUUGAAACGCCCAACUUAUUCUCAGAGCCUUUUUAAAUCAAAUACAGAUAUGCUCUAUUCUUUCUGCAGAUCCAUCUGGCUGCUUAAAGGCAAAGAAAAGAACACUGCCACAUAAAGUGCGUACGCAUCUCCAGACAAAUUAAACCCCAGAGCCAGGUCAACGACCAGCUGAGUAUCCUGGGGAUGGGCAGGUAUUUUAACCGUGUGGCAGCUUGCUGGAGGAGAAGGAAGGAGAGGACGUGGGGAAGGCAUAGGGAACCAAAAAAGAGAACAGAUUUGUUAUUAGAAAGAUGACAUUUACAAAUACCAUUCCCUUUGGGUGAAGUUACACUUAAGCUAGAUGGCUCAGACAAUACUAAAACUGAGAUGAGGCUUUAUUUCUGAAGUUCUUUUCUUCUGAGGAACCUGAGACACUUUCAGAGAAGCAUGAAUUAAGCCUCACAACAGUAGUGUGCAUGAAACAGUGACUAUUCUCCAUUUAGUAGAAGGGGUAUACAAAUGCAAAGAGGUCAUGUGAGUUGUUUGAGGGCGUACAGGAAGUCUGUGGCACAGCACAGAAAUAGAAUCCAGACCUCUUGACUCCUAGACUUGUACUUCAACCACAACUCAUCUUUCUUCCCUUAAACAAUCAAGAAGUUGAAAGCCAAGCAGCAUCAAGUCAAACAUCUGAGCGAUGCUUGUCUUAGAUUUGUGAUGUGGCUCAGACUGUGUUCCUUCGGGCUGGCUAGAAACUGACACAGAAACAUCACUUCCUGAGGGGUCGUGAGAAAUGGAAGAAGACGGAGGGAAGAGGACUACUGAGACACUGAGACUUUCAAACCCAUCUUCUCAGCCUUCUCCUUACCAUAAAAUGACACAGCAGUGUUUUCUUCUGUUACCAUGGUGUUCUGCAAAUGACUUCAGCUCACUAACUAGAAAUUAAAUGGGCAAACCUCUGAAAGUUUGGCAGUUUGAAUAAACAUCUGCAGGGAUCUGGCUGGACCUGGGGACAGGCUGUCCUUUGCAAAAGAAACCACAGAAAUUGCUUGAGACGCACCACUCUUCUAAGGGCUUGUGCUGAGUCUAAAGGAAAGAGUGUGAAGCAUGUAAUGUCUGCACCCAGAGAGAGGUGAGAGAGUGGCUGAGAGAAGUUUCUCAUGGGGAGAAUCUACGCAGUGCAGAAACCUAGAAGUGAUCAGAAAAUAGGGAGCUGCAAUUUGAAAAUAGUAACAAUCUGCAGUCUAGGCAAAAUCUAGGAGUUCAUUUAGAAGACCACUGGGGGCAGAAAGAAGCUGCAAAAGCUCUGCUAGAGUAUUACAUCACAAAUGGCUGGAGUUAUCUGACUUUGCCAAGGCUAUUCUUACCUCUGUUACUAAAGCUUCCUGACGUGGGUUAUGUGAGAAUUUAAGUAAGCUUCUUCGGUUGGGAUGGGCAUUUUUUUUUCUUCUGACUAAGCGCUCAUAUAAGAAGACAUAAAUUGCUCCACAAAAUGCCUCUCUUUCCAGGGGGAAGAGCUAUUUGGAAGGGACACCUGGUGACCGCAGUGGCCAUGGGGCCACCAGCCAGCCUGCUCUCCUGGGUGAUGCAGCCGACUGCAGCAGAACAACAUGAACAUGCUGUCAGAUGCCUUGCAUCUGUGUACUCUCAUUCCUGCUCUAUUGUGCAACUAUUCCACUCCAGUCUCAGCUGAGGCUUCAAGUGGGAAUAACCCAAAAUACCACAACAACAGCUGUUUUGUUGGAUUUUAUGGAGCUGAAACCCAGGAGUCCUGGAAAUCUUCAAAUAAAGCUUUUUCCCAUAAAAGAAACUUCCAGAUGCAUAAGCCUGAGUGUUUGUGAGCAGCUCAUGUCUGUGUAGUAAGCUUGCAUUUUUUAUGUCUUCCCCUUGUCAUUUCAUUUAUAAUAAAUGUGUAAUAACUUGCUAAGUACUGCAGUAAUUCCUAAGAACAUUAAUGCAUUAUUUGAUGGUGAAAUUUCACUGGAAGGCCACCAUCAUCUGACUCCACAUAUUUUAGCAGGCUUUCCUUUACUGAAUAGAUUGCCUUUGAAUAAAAAAUUCCAAAAUUGAGAGCAGUCUUUAGGAAAAAUUUUCAUGGGUUUGACAAGCCAGUGGACAAGGGUUACAAUGCUCAAAGCUGCCUGUGAUAUGUAACAUGUCUUUUUUACCAGGCGGUGAAGGAGCAUAUUUCUACAUGAGGCAUUUCAAAGAAAGCCAGAUCAUUUUUUCCACAGGCAGCAGGAUGCUGUGCGCAAACAGUCACCCCACGUUUGUCAUCUUACAGUAAGGCUCUGAGACUUCACCUACGGAAGCUUCACAAAGCUUUACAAUACACUAUCUGCUCACUGUGAUGUCUUACACACUUUCCAACUGCUAUAGAAAAGGGUGAAA